UACGUAGGGUGCAAGCGUUGUCCGGAAUUAUUGGGCGUAAAGAGCUUGUAGGCGGUUUGUCGCGUCUGCUGUGAAAUUUCGGGGCUCAACCCCGAACUUGCAGUGGGUACGGGCAGACUAGAGUGUGGUAGGGGAGACUGGAAUUCCUGGUGUAGCGGUGAAAUGCGCAGAUAUCAGUAGGAACACCGAUGGCGAAGGCAGGUCUCUGGGCCAUAACUGACGCUGAGAAGCGAAAGCAUGGGGAGCGAACAGG
rnacentral:rRNA from 1 species